GUUUGUAUUUUUUUUUUUAGAAUGUCUGUUUUCUUUAAGGGCAGCUGACAAUAAGAAUUGUCUAUGUAUGCACUACAGAUGCUGUUCAAUAUCUUUUCAUGAGGAAGCCUGCUCAAAAAGAUCGCCACAUUUUCUUUAGGGGAAGUUGACAUUAAUCUUUUAGGUUAAUAAUAACCUAUGCAUGCAGUACAGAUGCUGUUCAUCAUCUUUUCAUAAGCAAGCCUGCUCAAGAAGCUGCUGCAUGGAAGUCAAAAUAUGAAUUAUUGCCACCAGUCUUGAAGUCAGCUUGUAAAG
rnacentral:sRNA from 1 species